ensembl:lncRNA
CUUCUCUGCACUGAUCAUCAGCACACUGCAGUAAUGACAGAACAUGGACACUGGAGUCCAGUGAAAGCGGUCACUCUAGAGGAGAUAAAGAUUUGCCUUGAGAUGAGGAAACCUAUUGAAGAAAAUGUUGUAAAUGGUUUACAUUCCUUUGGUCUAUUCUUCUCAGAUUGUGAAUGGAACAAACUUUGUGGUCAAGGUGUUUCUUGGUGGAAGGGAUGAUGGAGUGUGUAUUCAUGCGAAGAUACAUCAGGCUCUUGCCUGUAAUGGAGGAAAACUGACACUGUCUAGAUUCCAGUUUCCUAAAACCUUCGAUGAACCUCUGAAACCCUUCUGAACACAUCUAACCAAAUACCGAAACAGUCUUAUCAAAUAACAGACACAUGAAUGAGCUGCCGUAUCUGCUGAAAUCAUUUCAUUCUUCAAUAUUAAACUCUGUA